UAAAUAAGCAACCUAAAUAAAAUACUAAAUUAUGACUAAACCAGUAAAGUAAAUAAAUAUGGGAAUAAAAUGGCCUUAUAAAGGAAAAUUAUCUAUUAAGGUAAUUCUUAGCAGCAGAGGACAGAAACGACUGCUAGACUGCUGGAUGAAGUUUGAACACCUCAGCCUGACUGUCUGAUGUGCGUUUGGGAAAACCAGCUUUGUUGAUGUUUGUUGAUGGUUCAGCUUCUUGCACUCCUGGUUCGGUGUUUCUUCACCUCAUGAAACUCUUGUUUCUGGUUCUUUGAUUUUGCUUCGCCUUGGAAACAUCGUUCUUGAAAGCAGAUGGAAAGCCUAUAUUCUUCUUCCACACACAUCAUGUCUGGUGGAAGCAACAGAAGGCUGUGCUGCAGCGUCUCCCCUUGUUUACAGCGCUGCAGGUCCUCCCUCCCUCCUCUGCUGAGGAGAAGUUUGUUUGGAUUUCUGCAGGUGCAGAAGUGAUAAGGGUAUCGAAUAUAAGGAAGUACAUUUACUGGCUCCUUUAAUUCAGCAUGUUGGUAACUUUGACUCCCAGUUUUCCUCCACAUGAGCUCAUGACGGGUCGACCCUUUCCUGGACCACAGAACGAACCUGACCUCUGACCUCUGGCCAGACUAGGACUGACAGGUGAACC